rnacentral:rRNA from 1 species
GAUGAACGCUGGCGGCGUGCUUAACACAUGCAAGUCGAGCGAACGGACGAGAAGCUUGCUUCUCUGAUGUUAGCGGCGGACGGGUGAGUAACACGUGGAUAACCUACCUAUAAGACUGGGAUAAUUUCGGGAAACCGGAGCUAAUACCGGAGAAUAUCUUGAACCGCAUGGUUCAUUGGAGAAAUACGGCCGUGCGGUCAGGUAUAGAUGGAUCUGCGCUGCAUUAGGUAGUUGGUAAGGUAACGGCUUACCAAGGCAACGAUGCAUAGCCGACCUGAGAGGGUGAUCGCCCACACUGGAGCUGAGACACGGUCCUGACUCCUACGGGAGGCAGCAGUAGGGAAUCUUCCGCAAUGGGCGGAAGCAUUACGGAGCAGCGCGGCGUGAGAGGUGGCGGUCUUGGGAUCGUAAUGCUCUGUUUUUAGUGGAAAACAUAUGUGUAAGUAACUGUACCCAUAUUGACGGUAACUAGUAAAGAAGCAACGGCUAACUACGUG